GACGAACGCUGGCGGCGUGCCUAAUACAUGCAAGUCGAGCGAAUCGGCGGUUGGGUGAGUAACGCGUGGGUAACCUGCCCUUCAGUCUGGGAUACCAUUUGGAAACAGAUGCUAAUACCGGAUACUAAAGGAUGGACCUGCGAUGCAUUAGCUAGGUGGUAAGGUAACGGCUUACCAAGGCGAUGAUGCAUAGCCGGUUUGAGAGAAGGAUCGGCCACAUUGGGACUGAGACACGGCCCAAACUCCUACGGGAGGCAGCAGUAGGGAAUAUUCCACAAUGGACGAAAGUCUGAUGGAGCAACGCCGCGUGAGUGAAGAAGGUUUUCGGAUCGUAAAGCUCUGUUGUUGGUGAAGCGGUAAUCAACCAGAAAGUCACGGCUAACUACGUGCCAGCCGCCGCGGUAAUUC
rnacentral:rRNA from 1 species